UCCGAAGGGGGCUAGCGUUGUUCGGAAUUACUGGGCGUAAAGGGCGUGUAGGUGGUUUGGUAAGUCAGGUGUGAAAGCCCUGGGCUUAACCGAGGAAGAGCAUCUGAAACUGCCAAGCUUGAGUACGGGAGAGGAUGGCGGAAUUCCCAGUGUAGAGGUGAAAUUCGUAGAUAUUGGGAGGAACACCGGUGGCGAAAGCGGUUCUCUGGAUCGAUACUGACGCUAAGACGCGAAAGCGUGGGGAGAAAACAGG
rnacentral:rRNA from 1 species